UCAAAUCGCACUGAAAACCCACAUUCUCAUUCAAUCACUGAAGUUAAGCAAUGUCGAGUUUGGUCAGUACUUAGAUGAGGGGCAGCUUGGGAAUACCUGGUAGUGUA